CAUCUUGUACUCGCUCCAGCGCCGCCGCAGCUCCUCCUCCUUGGCGGGCAGGCUGUCCGGGCUCACAUCGCUGUACGGCAGCAGCGAGUGCCCACUCUGGGUCUGCUCGCAGAUUGAGGCUCUUCCGGCACUCGGUUAGGUGACGCUCGCGCUUCUUGCGCUCCUGUGACAUGGUCUCCUCCAGACACUGCAGCUCGUUCUGGAGGGGGGCAGGGGAACAGCAGGACCAGCUGGUACCUACUGUGGCUGAGGCAGUCGGAGCAGUGGGCCCAACUCAGAAGAGAUGGGCCAGGCUGCCAGCUCCUCCAGCUCGUGUUCCGCCUUCACCACCUCAGCUUCCAUGACGUCCACCCGGUUCUUCAAGUGACGGUUCUCUUCCUGGGACACGGGGAAUGGGGCAGGCCUGUGACCGCUGUCCCUGCCAGUGUGGCCCCCCCUGCCUUUGCCCCCACCCCAGGCCCUCCUGGUCCCUACCUGUAGCUGGGCCUUGAGCUGCAGGUGGUCCUCCUGCUGGAGCUCCGCCAGCCGCUUCUGCCGCAAGCCCACCUGAUAGUGCAGAGCGUUGAGCUGCUUCACCUUCUUACUCAGCUGGUGGUCCAGGUAGGGCCACUCCGACUUCCAUUCCUCAGUCACUGCCUGGACCACUUUCUCAUCUCUCUGCAAGGAGAGGAACCCAGUCACCAUGGAUCCAGGCCACCUUUACUUGAAGCAGCACACUCUCCCGGGGAUGCUGCCCAACCAAC